rnacentral:rRNA from 1 species
GCCGCGUGUGUGAAGAAGGCCUUCGGGUUGUAAAGCACUUUUGUCCGGAAAGAAAACGCCGUGGCUAAUACCCGUGGCGGAUGACGGUACCGGAAGAAUAAGCACCGGCUAACUACGUGCCAGCAGCCGCGGUAAUACGUAGGGUGCAAGCGUUAAUCGGAAUUACUGGGCGUAAAGCGUGCGCAGGCGGUUCGCUAAGACAGAUGUGAAAUCCCCGGGCUUAACCUGGGAACUGCAUUUGUGACUGGCGGGCUAGAGUAUGGCAGAGGGGGGUAGAAUUCCACGUGUAGCAGUGAAAUGCGUAGAGAUGUGGAGGAAUACCGAUGGCGAAGGCAGCCCCCUGGGCCAAUACUGACGCUCAUGCACGAAAGCGUGGGGAGCAAACAGGAUUAGAUACCCUGGUAGUCCACGCCCUAAACGAUGUCAACUGGUUGUCGGGCCUUCAUUGGCUUGGUAACGUAGCUAACGCGUGAAGUUGACCGCCUGGGGAGUACGGUCGCAAG